UACGUAGGUGGCGAGCGUUGUCCGGAUUUACUGGGCGUAAAGGGAGCGUAGGCGGACUUUUAAGUGAGAUGUGAAAUACUCGGGCUCAGCUUGAGUGCUGCAUUUCAAACUGGAAGUCUAGAGUGCAGGAGAGGAGAGUGGAAUUCCUAGUGUAGCGGUGAGAUGCGUAGAGAUUAGGAAGAACACCAGUGGCGAAGGCGAUUCUCUGGACUGUAACUGACGCUGAGGCUCGAAAGCGUGGGGAGCAAACAGG
rnacentral:rRNA from 1 species